CCUACGGGAGGCAGCAGUGAGGAAUAUUGGUCAAUGGACGAGAGUCUGAACCAGCCAAGUAGCGUGAAGGAUGACUGCCCUAUGGGUUGUAAACUUCUUUUAUAUGGGGAUAAAACGUUCCACGUGUGGGAUUUUGUAUGUACCAUAUGAAUAAGGAUCGGCUAACUCCGUGCCAGCAGCCGCGGUAAUACGGAGGUUCCGGGCGUUAUCCGGAUUUAUUGGGUUUAAAGGGAGCGUAGGUGGAAUGUUAAGUGAGUUGUGAAAGGUUGUGGCUCAACCGUGAAAUUGCAGUUGAAACUGGCAGGCUUGAGUGCAGGAGAGGUGUGCGGAAUUCGUGGUGUAGCGGUGAAAUGCUUAGAUAUCACGAAGAACUCCGAUUGCGAAGGCAGUAUACGGCAGUGCAACUGACACUGAGGCUCGAAAGCGUGGGUAUCAAACAGGAUUAGAUACCCUAGUAGUC
rnacentral:rRNA from 1 species